rnacentral:rRNA from 1 species
UACGGGGGGGGCUAGCGUUGUUCGGAAUUACUGGGCGUAAAGGGCGCGUAGGCGGUCUACUAAGUUGGAUGUGAAAACUCUGGGCUUAACCCAGAGCCUGCAUUCAAAACUGAUAGGCUAGAGUUCUGGAGGGGAUAGCGGAAUUCCUGGUGUAGCGGUGAAAUGCGCAGAUAUCGGGAAGAACACCCGUGGCGAAGGCGGUUCUCUGGGACGGUACUGACGCUGAGACGCGAAAGCGUGGGGAGCGAACAGG